rnacentral:lncRNA from 1 species
GCUUAUGAAAUGUAAGUCAUUGCAACUGCAAUACUUUCAACAUGAAGUUCACUCUUUUUUUCGGCUUUGUACUGGUUUUGAUCGCUCUGGCUUUCGCCAAUCCAAACCCCAUGCCUAAUCCCAAUUCUGUUGCCGAUUGCGGUGAUGCCUGUCUGGAGCUCGAACAUGGUGGCGGUGGUGGUGGCGGCGGUGGCUAGUAAACUACUAAGCUGUGUGCAAUGUAUACUCGUCGACGACUUGAACAUUUUUAUUUUAUAUUUCAAUAAAAAAAUGUAUCUCCCUUAAGCAAAAUA